rnacentral:lncRNA from 1 species
GCCAGAAACAGCAACCCUUCUGGGUCCCCUUCCACCACGCAGAAGCUUUACUUUCGCUUUCACUUUACUUUUGCUUUCACUUUAACAAAUCUUGCAGCCGCACACUCUUUGGGUCCGCCCGUUUCUCUAAUCAAGUUGUAACACUCGCUGCUGUGGUCCACAGCUUCAUUCCUUGAAGCCCGUGAGACACGAACGCUUCCAUUGAGAAAAACCUUCCAUCAGAAGAAGACUUCUCGUCUCAGUGGGACUGCUGAGUUGAAUGAGACGAGGUUUCACCAUGUUACCCAAGCUGAUCUCGAACUCCUGGGUUCAUGCGAUCCACCUGACUCAGCCUCACAAAGUGGUAGGACUACAGAAAAUGAACAGGACUAUUCUUCCUCAAACAAAGAGAUCGUGUGAUGAAGACUCACCAGAGCUGUUCUCUAUAAGCUUGAAGAGCAAUGGUAUCAGGUGGAAAGAACUUAGAGGCCGAGGAUAUCCAGGAUGCACAUGUUGCCAGCAGCUACUAUCAAAGUUUAAGUGAAUUGCCUUUUCAUUUAUUAUCUUGUUUCUCAAGUGGGAUAUAAGUGUCAUGGGGAGGAUCUGAAAAUGGACUCCAUAGAAAGAGACUCUGAGAUGAAAGACACAAAACUGAGAACAUGCUUGAUGAAGAAACACUUGAUGAAGUCUUUCAAAAGUCAGGAACAAGAAAUAGACACAAUGAACACUAGUAACAAACAUCAGACAGCAGGUGCUUUUUUUUCUGAAGCUUUGGUAGUGUAACUGUAAGAGUCCUGGAAUUGGAAAAGCAAAUCCAGAAGUUGAGUUCCAUGACUUUUUUGCUGUUUGCCUUUGGACUUGCAUCAUUUAUAUUUUUAAUUCAUCGAGGAUGAGAAAAUUGAUUAACACAAAAUCUUUUCAUGUCUUUUCUGAUGAGAGACUAGCUGAAUCCAAGAAGAGAAGCCCUUGAAGAGUGUAUUCUAUUCUAGACAAGCAUUCACACAUUGGCUUCUUUGGUGCCAGCAUGUUUCUGAUCAGCAUGAAAACUGCGCAGGAGCUUUUCUGUCUUGCAGAGCUAGUUAAUGAGAUUGUUGCUGCCUUCAGAUUCUAUAAAGGACUUCUCCAAUAUUGGAUUAAAGAAUGAAGAAAGGAUCAAAUUGAGACAUCCAGGGGGGAAGAGUUCCCUGGCAAAACUCCAAUCUGCCUGAGCACUGAGGUGGAGCCACAGAAGUCCGGGUCAUUUGCACCUGGGAGGAGCCUGGCCCCUCCUCUUCCUGUGUGGAAUCUGGGAUUUAAUCUGUGAGGAGGGAAGGCCAAGGGCAGGAAGCACAGGCUCUCACUUCACUAAGAGUCUCUGUUUCCCCUUUUUUUCCUUUAUGCCUAAUUAAUAAAUCCCAUUUUUCUCACUCUUCAAAUAGUCUUCAAGCCUAAAUUUUCAUGACCAUGGAACAAGGACCCCAUCUUUAGCUGAACUAAGGAAAAGUCCUGCAACAAAAUUCUUUGCUAAAAAUACAUGAGGUUGCCUUUUCCUUCUUAAUCUUAAAAGAAAUAUAUUUCAAUGGUUAACGUUUUAGUAAUUCAAAAAUUAUCAAGCAUUUGUUCACAACCAUAAGAUGUGCAUUGUUUUAUAUUCCUACUUAAUAAUAGACUAUAAUUGUCUAAUUAGACUGCCGAUGUUGAUCUUUGUGGCUCAUUGCAUUGAUUAUAAGCAGUGUUUUGGGUUUGUGUGUGUGUGUCAAAUUUAGGGUUUUUUUGGUAUGGCUGCUGGUUGGUGUAGCCUGUAUCCAGUAUCCUGUAUUAAUUCUAAUAUUUGCAUUUUGAACAUAUUUACAAGUUGCUAAAAUAGCAAAGCUUCGAGAUGAGCCUGGCUGAUAUGGCAAAACCCCGUCUCUACUAAAAAUACAAAAAUUAGCCUGGUGUGGUGGUGCAUGCCUGUAAUCCCAGCUACUUGGAAGUCUGAGGCAGGAGAAUCUCUUGAACCCAGAAGGUGGAGGUUGCAGUGGGCCAAGAUCGCACCACUGCACUCCAGCCUCGGUGAUAGAGCGAGACUACGUCUCAAAAAUAAAAUAAAAUAAAAUAAAAUAAAAAUAGCAAAGCUAUGUAUGGUUUCUCUGAGUUUUGUAAUUUAUCAUUGUUAACUGCAGAAAUUUAUUAUAUGAGACAUAUUAUAUGAGACAUAUAAGUGAAUUUGGAUUGGGUUUAAUUUUAUAUUUUUGAAUAUAGUUCUUCAAGAUAAAUUUUAUCUUAGACCUCAAGAAAUAAAAAUAAAAUAAAUUAGAUAUACAAACGA